UACGUAGGGUGCAAGCGUUGUCCGGAAUUAUUGGGCGUAAAGAGCGUGUAGGCGGCCCGGUUAGUCCGCUGUGAAAGUCCAGGGCUCAACCCUGGAAUGCCGGUGGAUACUGUCGGGCUAGAGUGCGGAAGAGGCGAGUGGAACUCCUGGUGUAGCGGUGAAAUGCGCAGAUAUCGGGAAGAACACCCGUGGCGAAGGCGGCUCUCUGGGACGGUACUGACGCUGAGACGCGAAAGCGUGGGGGAGCGAACAGG
rnacentral:rRNA from 1 species